GUCUUUCUGGCUGCGGCUGCAGAGCGGGAGGACGCUGUGGUUCGGGCUCCGCGCCCUGCCCCGAUCUCUGGGGCAAACGGCACCCUGGCCCGCCAGGUGUUUAGCGGUAGGGCCUCGCCUGCGCUCGGGGAAACUUGGCCCGGAGUCGCCGGAUGGAAGGGGAGGUUUUGCUGGCCACGUGUGUGGAAAGGGAAGCGGGCCGCUUUACCCAGGCGAUGAGUCCCUCCUUCGUUUAUCGGGGCCUUAAACCUCGUCUCGGCAGCACGUGAUGCGGUGAUUCUAGUCCAUCUUUAUAAGCAAUGGAUCACGGCCAGUUUUGUGAUAAACUUGAAUUGAUCAACUUUACAUAAUUCAAAAGUGAAGUUCUAAUGUGAAACCAUCUGAGCUGAACAUGUCCGACUGACCUGAAUGAGCAUUGUAGUCUGGCUUCAGGUUGUGGUGGUAUUGUGCCAAAUGCCUGCUUGUACCCUGGAAAGAUUCUUUACAGCUGGGAUGAACAGAUUCACUACUUGCAUAUUCCUUUGUACAAGUGAAGCUACUGAAAACAUCUGAAAUAUAAGCUGUAAUCCAUAUAAAUUUGGGGUUGCAAGAUUUUUAAUGGUGCUACACAAUGGAAGCUUGGUUAGCUAGCAGUGGCACAAGGAAAACUUGUAAAUUUUUUUUGUAAUGUUGAUUUACAAUAAUUGUAUAUUUGACUUUGUGUUGAAUAUGACUUGAAUCCAAUUAAACUUUAAAAUAACCAA